rnacentral:sRNA from 1 species
UAACGAAUAGAAGUGGUCGGUGUACAGC